rnacentral:rRNA from 1 species
UACGGGGGGGGCAAGCGUUGUUCGGAAUUACUGGGCGUAAAGGGCUCGUAGGCGGCCAACUAAGUCGGAUGUGAAAUCCCCAGGCUCAACCUGGGAACUGCAUCCGAUACUGGAUGGCUUGAAUCCGGGAGAGGGAUGCAGAAUUCCAGGUGUAGCGGUGAAAUGCGUAGAUAUCGAGAGGAACACCUGCGGCGAAGGCGGGUUGCUGGGCUGAUACUGACGCUGAGGCGCGAAAGCCAGGGGAGCGAACGGG